CUGCUGUAAGCGGCACCUCCGUACCUGCUGAGAAAGAAUGGGAAUGGGAUCCGAACAGGGAAUCCUUCUUUCCGAAUUCUGAUGGUCUCCAGGAUGCCGGCAUACUUCAGCUGACUGCUCACCACGUCUUCCUCAAAGAGAUCGAUUUCUCAUCCCGACGAGAAAUAUAUUGUUAAAGACGUCUGAGAGAGCGCCUGCAGCAACCUGUGCACCCACUCAGCUGUGAAGAUUCCAUCUCUCACAGUUGAAGAGUACCUACGAGAUAUCUACAUCAAGCUGAGGAAACAUGGAGGUCAGGACUCACGUAUAGACAGGGCAUGUACACUCUGUUCCCCACUAUGACAUCUAUGAAGUCGUCCGGGCUGCAGUCCUCCCGGAACAGAACCUCAGCGUUGAACAUUUCUGGAGAAAAGUUUCAUUAAGGUUUAUUUCUGUGCAAAAUAAAUCCUGCGCCACGUGGUUGAGAUGCCUUCAUGGCCGGGGCUGUCACGUUCUGCCGAUUUUCUGUAGUCAAUCGGUAAGCUGCAGGGCUGGAUCGGGGCAUGUGUGUGUACGGCAGGGUCAUCAGAUAUGAAUAAUCUGCGUAUAUUGCUCCGGAUUGUAAAGGCCCAUUCACACUACGGAAUCUGCAGUGGGGAUGCCGUCUGCAACAGGCGCUGCCGGUCACUACUGACGGUAAUAUAGUCCAUACAGUGUCCUAACCAAUGAAUCAACAUGUUCCUUCUUUCGGCAAGCCUGGGAUUUUCACUAUGGAAAUCCUGCAGUGUAAAUGGGUCAAUGGAGAACCCAUUCACACCAAUGAGAGAUUUCUGAAUUCCGCUUGGAUAUUA